UGGGGAAUAUUGGACAAUGGGGGCAACCCUGAUCCAGCCAUGCCGCGUGUGUGAAGAAGGCCUUUUGGUUGUAAAGCACUUUAAGCAGGGAGGAGAGGCUAAUGGUUAAUACCCAUUAGAUUAGACGUUACCUGCAGAAUAAGCACCGGCUAACUCUGUGCCAGCAGCCGCGGUAAUACAGAGGGUGCGAGCGUUAAUCGGAAUUACUGGGCGUAAAGCGAGUGUAGGUGGCUCAUUAAGUCACAUGUGAAAUCCCCGGGCUUAACCUGGGAACUGCAUGUGAUACUGGUGGUGCUAGAAUAUGUGAGAGGGAAGUAGAAUUCCCAGGUGUAGCGGUGAAAUGCGUAGAGAUCUGGAGGAAUACCGAUGGCGAAGGCAGCUUCCUGGCAUAAUAUUGACACUGAGAUUCGAAAGCGUGGGUAGCAAAACAGGAUUAGAUACCCUGGUAGUCCACGCCGUAAACGAUGUCUACUAGCCGUUGGGGUCCUUGAGACUUUAGUGGCGCAGUUAACGCGAUAAGUAGACCGCCUGGGGGAGUGACGGCCGCAAGGUUAAAAACC
rnacentral:rRNA from 1 species